UACGUAGGUGGCAAGCGUUGUCCGGAAUUAUUGGGCGUAAAGCGCGCGCAGGCGGUCCUUUAAGUCUGAUGUGAAAGCCCACGGCUCAACCGUGGAGGGUCAUUGGAAACUGGGGGACUUGAGUGCAGAAGAGGAAAGCGGAAUUCCACGUGUAGCGGUGAAAUGCGUAGAGAUGUGGAGGAACACCAGUGGCGAAGGCGGGUCUCUGGACAGUUCCUGACGCUGAGGCGCGAAGGCCAGGGAGCAAACGGG
rnacentral:rRNA from 1 species